AGAGUUUGAUCCUGGCUCAGGAUGAACGCUGGCGGUAUGCCUAACACAUGCAAGUCGUACGAGAGUUUUUAACUCUAGUGGCGGACGGGUGAGUAACACGUGAGAAUUUGCCUUUAGGAGGGGGAUAACAAUUGGAAACAAAUGCUAAUACCCCAUAUGCUUUCGAGUGAAAUGGAUUUAUAUUUAUCCGCCUAGAGAGAAGCUCGCGGCUGAUUAGCUUGUUGGUAAGGUAAGAGCUUACCAAGGCGACGAUCAGUAUCUGGUUUGAGAGGACGACCAGACACACUGGAACUGAGACACGGUCCAGACUCCUACGGGAGGCAGCAGUGGGGGAUUUUCCGCAAUGGGCGAAAGCCUGACGGAGCAAUACCGCGUGAGGGAAGACUGCCUAUGGGUUGUAAACCUCUUUUUUCAGGGAGGAAUAAAAUGACGUGUACCUGAAGAAUAAGCAUCGGCUAACUCCGUGCCAGCAGCCGCGGUAAGACGGAGGAUGCAAGUGUUAUCCGGAAUCACUGGGCGUAAAGCGUCUGUAGGUGGUUUAAUAAGUCAACUGUUAAAUCUUGAGGCUCAACUUCAAAAUCGCAGUCGAAACUAUUAGACUAGAGUAUAGUAGAGGUAAAGGGAAUUUCCAGUGGAGCGGUGAAAUGCGUAGAUAUUGGAAAGAAUACCAAUUGCGAAGGCAGCUUUCUGGAUCAUUACUGACACUGAGAACGAAAGCAUGGGUAGCGAAGAGGAUUAGAUACCCUCGUAGUCCAUGCCGUAAACGAUGUGUGUUAGACGUG
rnacentral:rRNA from 1 species